GAAUGGAAAUGGCCGCAUGCAGCUCCUCUCCCUCAGACAGCUCGGGGCUCAGCGGAAUGAGCACAGUCUGCAGGACAAGUGCGGAGGACUUCAGUCCCCUCUACUGUAUAUUGGCUUUAGGACUCAAGUUGUCCCUGAAAUAGAGGAAGGUGUUUUCUAGGGUAGUGGUAAUUAUCACAGUCAAAAAAGUAGGCGAGAGCACUUAGGAAAACUGUGCGGAGAUCGGCUGCUGAUGUGUAAAUACUGCUGAAGCUGCUUAUUCAAGAUUAGAAAACCUGAGACCCAGACGGGGGAAACUGCUUUCCAUGGUUAAUCGUCAACAACUGGCCAGGAUGGGACAGAAGCCCAUACAUAGCCUUCAUUCCAGGGCUCAGAACAAAAAGAAGGCAGUGGCCUGGGCUGCACCUGAGCUUGGCUUCACAUAGGAGGGAUUCUGGAACGCAGGAUCCUGACAACGACCUCAAGCCCCUGUAAAGCAACACAUUUUUUGGCAAGAAUCCCUGGGACAGAGAAAGAAUUUCUUCUCACUUAUUAUUGAGAAUGUUCUCAUGUCUUGCAAGGACUCACCCCAGGACCCAGUACCUUCAAGCGUUGGCUGUACGGAUUACCAGCUCCUGAAUUGCAGGCCUCUUUUCCAUAACCAGAAAGACUUGCUCACUGCCCAGUAGAAGCUGAAAAGAUUCAGUAUGAGUAAAAGAAGAGAUCUGAAAUUUGCAGCUUGUCAUAGAAAGAACUGAGACUACCAUACACCUAAGAAGUCAAAGUUGCUAUUCAAGGGGAAGUGCAAACACAAGAUGAGGGAAACUGAUGUAUUUAGUGUCUACAUUUUACAAAUGGAUGCUUUUCAUAAUAUGAAAAUACUGCACCAUAAGAUUGCCAGUCACAACAGCACGGCUACAGUGAAAAUGAUCCCAGUGGAUUUGUUACGGUGAGAAAGCUUCACUUGGAGACAAAGCCAAAACCUUCCUCCCAGGCUCCCUUGGAUGUAGGGGGAAGCAAACUGGCUGUCCAGGCCUCUGAGCCACAUCUACACACCUCAUGAGAGGGCCUGUGCAACAUUGCCUUAGAGAUGGAGAGCAUUGCUUCAGAAUCAGGGAAGCCUAAAUUUCACCCCUGGGGCUGCCCCUUGUGAUCUUGAAUGGCUCCUGACAAGAGGCUGCUGGGGAGGCUCCUGCUCCCUGCCUUUCGGGACUGCCGUGGAUUGCCCAUUGAUGGGUCAAAAUCCAGCUACCUGGUAAUUCAAUGAGUCCCUAGUGUGCAUCCAAUAAAUUAUCUUCUGUUUAAAUUAGAACAAACUGUUUUUAAUCUGUGUGCUAAGAAUCUCAUUAAAUGCAUCAUAAAUUUCAAAAUCAAAAACUAAAUAAAACAUUUAUCUAUCGAGUACUAAAA
ensembl:lncRNA LINC02405 long intergenic non-protein coding RNA 2405